GACGUAGGAGGCGAGCGUUGUCCGGAUUUAUUGGGCGUAAAGAGCGCGUAGGCGGCCAUACAGGUCCGUUGUGAAAACUGGAGGCUUAACCUCCAGACGUCGAUGGAAACCGUAUGGCUAGAGUCCGGAAGAGGAGAGUGGAAUUCCUGGUGUAGCGGUGAAAUGCGCAGAUAUCAGGAAGAACACCCGUGGCGAAGGCGGCUCUCUGGGACGGUACUGACGCUGAGACGCGAAAGCGUGGGGAGCGAACAGG
rnacentral:rRNA from 1 species